rnacentral:rRNA from 1 species
UAGUCCACGCCGUAAACGAUGUCAACUAGCCGUCGGGCUCAUUUAAGGGUUUGGUGGCGCAGCUAACGCGCUAAGUUGACCGCCUGGGGAGUACGCCGGCAACGGUAAAACUCAAAGGAAUUGACGGGGCCCGCACAAGCGGUGGAGCAUGUGGUUUAAUUCGAUGAUACGCGAGGAACCUUACCUAGGCUCUAAUGCGAGCGCUAUCUGGUGAAAGCCGGAGUUCCUUCGGGACGCGAAGCAAGGUGCUGCAUGGUUGUCGUCAGCUCGUGCCGUGAGGUGUUGGGUUAAGUCCCGCAACGAGCGCAACCCUUAUCCUUAGUUGCCAGCGGGUAGAGCCGGGGGACUCUGAGGAGACUGCCACCGUAAGGUGUGAGGAAGGUGGGGAUGACGUCAAAUCAGCACGGGCCCUUAUGUCCAGGGGCUACACACGUGUUACAAUGGGACGGUACAAAGGGGCAGCUACCUGGUGACAGGAUGCUAAUCUCUAAAGCCGUUCUCAGUUCGGAUCGAAGUCUGC